rnacentral:rRNA from 1 species
GACGAACGCUGGCGGGUCUUAACACAUGCAAGUCGAACGGAAAGGCCCUGCUUGAGGGUAACUUCGAGGGGCGGAACGGGUGAUUAACACGGGGGUUGAUCUUGCCUUGCACUUUCGGGGAUAGGCUUGGAAAAUUGGGUCUAAUACCCGGAUAGAGGCCAUUUUUAAGUGUGAUGGGUUGGAAAGUUUUUUUCGGGGGAGGGUGGGGCUCCCCGGCCUUAUUCGGUUUUUUGGGGGGGUAAUGGCCUUACCAAGGCGGCGACGGGGAGCCCGGCUGGGAAGGGGGGGAAGGCCCCAUUGGGACUAGAAAUCCGGCCCAAAACCCCUACGGGAGGGAGCCGGGGGGGAAAUUUGCCCCAAGGGGGCCAAGUUUUAUGAAGGCACCCCCCCGGGGGGAAUACGCCCUUCGGGUUGUAAACCCCUUUUCCUUGGGACGAGCUUUUUUUGACGGGACCCUGAAAAAAAAACCCCGGUUAAAUUCCUGCAACAGCCGGGGUAAUACGAAGGGGGCGAGCGUUUUCCGGAAUUACUGGGGUUAAAGGGUCCAAGGUGUUUUGCCCGUCCUUUUUGAAAAUCCGGGGCUUAAUUCCGGCGUUCAGGCAAAAGGGCUUACUUUGGGACUUUAGGGGGUACUGGAAUCCUGGGUUAGCGUUAAAUCCCCAAUUUCGGGGGAAACCCAUGGCAAGGCGGUUAUUGGGCAGUCUUGCCCUGAGGGGCAAGCUUGGUUCGAAAAGAUUGAAUCCCCUGUAGCCAAGGCGAAUUCCCAAUGGGUAUCAGCUAUCGAACCCUCGAUCUCAGGGGGGCCCGAACCCGCUUUGUUCCUUUUGGGGGUAUUACCA